UUUAGCGGCCUUUUUUUAAAAACGCCACAACUGUCAAAUUUUUUUAACCAAAACUCCGUCGUUUUAGUUUCAUCCAAUUUAUUCGCUCCCGAUAGCUGUUCUUUUUCCCCUUUUAACAAAAUUUCCCUCAUUCCAUCUCUUCUCCUUUAAUCCCUAAAUUUUCAUCCCCAAGUUCUCAACCCAUUUGCCACCGAAGACGCCGACCGGACCACCUGCUGCAUCGCCCUCGACUAACCUCUCUGCAGCGUCGCCGUCGCCUGCUCAUCCUGCUCAGAAACGAGAUUAUAUUUUUCACAACGGUAAAUUAAAUGGGAAGCGCCAUGUACGACCUUACUACUUUGAGUUCGUCUCUCAUGUUAAUAAACGAUGGGAAGGUAAAACAAUAGUGGAUUUGUUCGCUCAAGAGUUCAGAGGUCGAUCUAGAGAUUACUGUAUUAUUUUUCUAGAAACAAUAUGCAACGAUGAAAAGAUUAUUGAAAGAAAUAUUCGCCUUAAAAUUCAACAAAGUCCUGACUAUGCAGAAGAAUUUCGAAGCUGGAUUACAAGACUUUACAACCCGGUUAGCUAAUUACGAAAAGGUUUAUAAACCAGUUGAUGAAGGGUCUUACAUCAAAAUGAUUGAUAUGGCUAGUGGGCAUGGUGGACAAAUACAAGUUAACAACAUCAGUGGCUAUCUUCCUGGACGAAACGUCUUCUUCUUGUGAUACCGGAGAAAUUUAUAUGAAGAAACUCGCAAACUUUGUUGAGAAGCGACUGAAAUCUGAAAGGACUGCUUCUCACCCUACAGAGAACAAUUCUGACAGCAAGUCCAAUUGAUGGAUUUCCAAAGGUUAGUGGGAAACCACAAGAAAGUAACUUAUAAAUCCUUUCUUUCACAUUCUAGCCCAUUCUGGCUGCUGAAUGAAGUAUAUAUUGAUAUGUUAACAGAGGAAAAACCAACUACACUAGAUUGCGGUCCAAGAACAAUUUGCAGGAGGCAGAUAAUGACUAGCUCCAACCUCUACGAAUGCUUGUGGGAGGCAUUGCACAGCGAAUAAGGAUGAUAACAUGCAGUUGACACCGUAUGUGCAAUGAAUCCGAAUUCAGAACACAUUUAUCCAGGAUGGGAAGGAGAUGGCAUUAGUGCUUUAUACUUAUCGCAGCUAUGUCAAAGCACUUCCUCAAGGGGUAUGUUGGAAUUCACAGUUCGGGAUUCAGAAACUUGCUGCUGAAAUCGGAGCUGCUUCGAUCUAUUGUGGAUUCUGGUUUUGAACAUCCUUCCGAAGGCAAAGUUUUAAACUCAUGUCUGAUGUUAACAUUUGUGAAUUCCAUGAAUUAAGUGAUUUUGUUUUUCUUGCUUUUAGUGACUUAUAAUGGUGGGCAGUAUAUAAGUUUGGUGCUUUAUUAUUUUGAUUCUAUAUUUAUAUUUAAUCUAAUUUUUAAUAUUUA